GAAGGCUGAGAAUGCUGAGCAUAUCCUUCAGAAGCAAGCUGAAGAGUUCGCUACUAAGGAGCACAAAUGGGAAGACGAGCUUCAUACGACAAAUGCUCAAUCAGAAAAUGCUACUACUCAACUUAGCUCUAUCAUAGCUGAGAAAAGGGAUGCAGAUUUUCGUAUUGCCGAGCUACAACUGGAAUGUGCCACUAUUCAGAGAUGGCGUUUCUUCUAUCUAGCUAUGAGGAGGUUGUUAAAGAGGUUAUGAAGGCUAAGUUUUAUGAUGCUGGCUUGACCUUUGAUGAGCAUAGUUUUACACAUAUUUGCUUGCAUAUUAUUGCGUAUGUUCUUAGCAAUUAUUGUGCUUUUAUUCCCAGAUCACCCGUGUUUUAUGUUCUUUUGCAUUUCAGGAACAUUUAUAGGACCAUCAUCGGUGUUUAAGCAAUUAUAGAUCAAUACGUGCAGAAACAGACGAGAAUUCAUCAAGAUCAGACAAGAGCCCGCGUUGCACACAUUGAGCACGGCCUGAGUCAAGGCCGUGCUGACCAUCACGGCCUAGACUCUGGCCGUGACCAACCAUCAAAACUUGGUCUUCAAAACAAUAGUUUGAGCACAGUUUCCGUAUCCACCACGGCCUCCAGCACGGCCCGUGGUGGCCAGCAUGGGGAGCAACACGGUCAUGGUGAAACCCUAGUUGGUGAGAUCCACAGUUUCAGCACGGCAUGGACUCCGGCCGUGCUGACCAGCACGGCCUUGACCACGGCCGUGCUGAGUUAAAUAUAUAAGAAAAAUUCAUUUUUCUUAGAGAAAAAGGGGGAAAAAGAGUGACAUUGAGCCCUAGUGGCUGGUUCGGUUUCUGCACAAUACUGAGUGCGAGAGAGAGUUGCAGUGAGUAAGAAUCCCGGAAUCGUAAGAUUCCGAGUGCAAAACAGUAGUGGAGCAAUUCAAGAGGCAGUUUGGGAGAUUAAUCAAAGUGUAGAUCUAGAUUUGGAGCUGUUCAUCCAAUUCGAG
rnacentral:lncRNA from 1 species